CGGGAAUUUUGGGCAAUGGGCGAAAGCCUGACCCAGCAACGCCGCGUGAGGGAUGAAGUAUUUCGGUAUGUAAACCUCGAAAGAAUGGGAAGAAUAAAUGACGGUACCAUUUAUAAGCUCCGGCUAACUACGUGCCAGCAGCCGCGGUAAUACGUAGGGUGCGAGCGUUAAUCGGAAUUACUGGGCGUAAAGCGUGCGCAGGCGGUUUUGUAAGACAGAUGUGAAAUCCCCGGGCUUAACCUGGGAACUGCGUUUGUGACUGCAAGGCUGGAGUACGGCAGAGGGGGGUGGAAUUCCACGUGUAGCAGUGAAAUGCGUAGAGAUGUGGAGGAACACCGAUGGCGAAGGCAGCCCCCUGGGCCUGUACUGACGCUCAUGCACGAAAGCGUGGGGA
rnacentral:rRNA from 1 species